CGGGAUUGCAGAUGGAGUCUCGGUCACUCAGUGCUCAAUGGUGCCCAGGCUGGAGUGCACCCCCCCGCCCGGCCAGCCGCCCCGUCCGGGAGGGGGGUGGGGGGGUCAGCCCCCCCACCCGGCCAGCCGCCCCGUCCGGGAGCCAAGAUCAUGCCACCACACUCCAGCCUUGGUGACAGAGCAAGAUUCCCUCAGAAAAAAAAAAAAAAGUGCAAGUCUCUAUGAAAAGGCAAAAUCCAGCUCUACUGCUCCUGCAGCAACAGCUA
rnacentral:lncRNA from 1 species